AUUGAACGCUGGCGGCAGGCCUAACACAUGCAAGUCGAGCGGAGCGGCGGAAAGGUGAGUAAUGCCUAGGAAUCAGCCUGGUGGUGGGGGGGGACGUCCGGAAACGGGCGCUGAUACUGCAUACUAUCAAACGAGACUAGGUCGGGUUAGCUAGUUGGUGGGGUAAAGGCCUACCAAGGCGACGAUCCGUAACUGGUCUGAGAGGAUGAGCAGUCAACCGGGAAUUGAGACACGGUCCAGACUCCUACGGGAGGCAGCAGUGGGGAAUAUUGGCCAAUGGGCGAAAGCCUGAUCCAGCCAUGCCGCGUGUGUGAAGAAGGUCUUCGGAUUGUAAAGCACGUUAAGUUGGGAGGCGUUACCAACAGAAUAAGCACCGGCUAACUUCGUGCCAGCAGCCGCGGUAAUUC
rnacentral:rRNA from 1 species